rnacentral:rRNA from 1 species
UGGUUUAAUUCGAUGCAACGCGAAGAACCUUACCUGGUCUUGACAUCCACAGAACUUUCCAGAGAUGGAUUGGUGCCUUCGGGAACUGUGAGACAGGUGCUGCAUGGCUGUCGUCAGCUCGUGUUGUGAAAUGUUGGGUUAAGUCCCGCAACGAGCGCAACCCUUAUCCUUUGUUGCCAGCGGUCCGGCCGGGAACUCAAAGGAGACUGCCAGUGAUAAACUGGAGGAAGGUGGGGAUGACGUCAAGUCAUCAUGGCCCUUACGACCAGGGCUACACACGUGCUACAAUGGCGCAUACAAAGAGAAGCGACCUCGCGAGAGCAAGCGGACCUCAUAAAGUGCGUCGUAGUCCGGAUUGGAGUCUGCAACUCGACUCCAUGAAGUCGGAAUCGCUAGUAAUCGUGGAUCAGAAUGCCACGGUGAAUACGUUCCCGGGCCUUGUACACACCGCCCGUCACACCAUGGGAGUGGGUUGCAAAAGAAGUAGGUAGCUUAACCUUCGGGAGGGCGCUUACCACUUUGUGAUUCAUGACUGGGGUGAAGUCGUAACAAGGUAACCGUAGGGGAACCUGCGGUUGGAUCAC